UGGGUUCCAGGAAGUGUAAGAAAAAUAACCCGACAAGCAUUAGAUUAGGGGACUGUCCCUGGCGAUGGUGAGCAAGCCCAGCCCGUACUGGGAAGCCUAAAGUUGUCAAAUGGUCACCCACCUUAAACAGCGGGGUUAUUGUUUCACACCUUUCUGGAACUUUU
rnacentral:other from 1 species